AAAUGUCACAGCUCUUUUGGAAUUUGUCUAGCAGGUUUUCUAGUUUUUACCGGAAAACCCAA
ensembl:snRNA U7 U7 small nuclear RNA